rnacentral:rRNA from 1 species
GUAGGGGCCAAGCGUUGUCCGGAUUUAUUGGGCGUAAAGAGCUCGUAGGCGGUUGGGUAAGUCGGGUGUGAAAACUCCAGGCUCAACUUGGAGACGCCACCCGAUACUGCUCUGACUUGAGUUCGGUAGGGGAGUGGGGAAUUCCUGGUGUAGCGGUGAAAUGCGCAGAUAUCAGGAGGAACACCGGUGGCGAAGGCGCCACUCUGGGCCGAAACUGACGCUGAGGAGCGAAAGCGUGGGUAGCAAACAGGAUUAGAUACCCUGGUAGUCCACGCCGUAAACGUUGGGCACUAGGUGUGGGCCCUAACCAACGGGGUCCGUGCCGUAGCUAACGCAUUAAGUGCCCCGCCUGGGGAGUACGGCCGCAAGGUUAAA